GCGCUUAUAGCUCAGUAGGAUAGAGCGAUCCCCUCCUAAGGGAUAGGCCACAAGUUCGAUUCUUGUUAAGCGCACCA
rnacentral:tRNA from 1 species